UAGGGAAUCUUCCACAAUGGACGCAAGUCUGAUGGAGCAACGCCGCGUGAGUGAAGAAGGUUUUCGGACCGUAAAGCUCUGUUGUUGGUGAAGAAGGAUAGGGGUAGUAACUGGCCUUUAUUUGACGGUAAUCAACCAGAAAGUCACGGCUAACUACGUGCCAGCAGCCGCGGUAAUACGUAGGUGGCAAGCGUUGUCCGGAUUUAUUGGGCGUAAAGCGAGCGCAGCGGAAGAAUAAGUCUGAUGUGA
rnacentral:rRNA from 1 species